AGUGCUGGAUGUACUCAUAAUUUUCAGUAUUAAUUAAAUUAUAUUAUUCAGUGGUCGAAGCCUUUUAUUGUCAAAAGCUCUUAUUUGAAACAAUAUGUUGUUCUCACAGUAUAUUAACAAUUUUUGUUUCUUCUUCUUUACAGGUGAGUUGGGAUAUAAUGAUGGCUCAUCAUGUUAUAUCUCUCAUUGGUAGUAAUUCCUUUUACUGAAGUUCAGUUUUCAGUAUGAAUGGUUUUCCAUUAUUGAUGAGGUUUGCACCUCUUCACAUCUAACUAACCGUAAAAUGGACUUUCUCUUCUGCUUAUCCCCAAGAGUAAUGUACUUGACACUAUAUUCUGAAAGAUUUCUCUGAGCCGAGUAAGUGGUAAUUAUUAGAGCUGCAUUUGAUCAAGUUGGUUCGUUUUUGAUGGUGAUGUUGAGGCCCACCUGAAAAAUCAGUUCACUGAUAAUCAAAUUACUAUUUUGAUUGAGGAAUAAUUUUGGCUAUUGUGAAUAGUAAGAAACAUUCAAGAAUAUCCUUAAUGGUGAAAAUAAUAAUAGUGGAAUCACUGCUCAAUCUGUGAGACUCUAAAGGUGCGUACAGAUAUACGCGCCUCCAACACGCCCCGCGCACGCUCUGCACUCGCUCCGAUCAUGAACGUUACAGGAGAUGUUAGCUCUUCUCGCGUUCCACUCUUGCUCCCCGGUCGAUCAUCAAUCGAUCUGCUCGAGUGAUGUUCGAUUGCGGAGCAGAGCGAAAGUCUGUACUCACCUCUAGAUAGAUUAAUCUGCAAGUCGGUUGUUUAGUUAGGUAGCCUUCAAUGAUGAUGAUUGAUAACGUGGAUCCUGGUCCCUGGUUAUGAGCCUUACUUAUUUCAACCCUUACUCUAUACAAACAAUAUGAUUUUGAUUUGAUACAGCUUCUCACUUAAUUUUUUCAGAUGUAAAUCUGUAAGUUCUUUCAGAAUAUUCCUCUUAACCAUAAUUUAUUUAAAAACUCUAGACGUACCAAAGAGCCUGAAUUUGAAAACUUUCCGCCAUUUUCCCACCAACUACUUCCACUACUCCAUAUCUCCUUCAAGGUAGGAAACUAUAGCACAUACUACUUUUGGGAUAUGUGGAGAUUUCUCAAAAACUAUUCCGUAUUGUGAGCAGUAUUUAGGUCACCUGACGGGUUUCAGAAAAUGUUGGUGCUAAAUAUUCUCGUAGUUUUCACCUCUUGGAUGUGAGACAGAAUCUGGGUGUUUGGUAUUUUGAGAAAAAGUUGGUGUGCCAACGCGAGUGCAUUGAGAGUGACGUGUAUUUGCUACGAGUCAGCAAGCGAAGACUGCUCUGGUUGAAUUCAAUAAAAUGCGCGUCGCUUCCGAAAUGUUCUGUGAGCUUGACACGACCUAACCUGUCAACAGACGUUUCUUUAGUGGCGUGAGAGAGUAGACGUGUCAAUUCUCCUCAGAAAUGGCUAUUGUUGGUGAAAAUGUUGCCAGGUUUCGAGUUGGUGGACUGUAUUUUGAAAAUAAUCUUAUUGUAGGUGUGAACUUUGCGGAAGUGAAGCGUAGGCCUACUCCACGAUGGAUCACAUUAAUUUUUCAGAAGAUUUCAUUCAACAUUUUAUAGUCUAAUGAACUCUUUAGAAUUCUUUGGAUUUCAUUCGACUAGAAUUAGAAUUUGAUUUCUUCAAUAAUAAAAUCAUUGAAAAAAUGAUAAAGUCAAAUAUACAGAAUGUCGCAGCAAGGUUGUAACAUCCGUUGGCCAUAGAUUGUACUCGACAUUUCUGACAAAAAUGAUCAGUAAACGUUUUCCCUAUCGACCUUAGUUUUCGAGAUAUAUAGAUUUUUCGAUAUUUUCAGAA